rnacentral:rRNA from 1 species
ACACGCUGGCGGCGUGCUUAACACAUGCAAGUCGAGCGAUGAAGUUUCUUCGGAAAUGGAUUAGCGGCGAACGGGUGAGGAACACGUGAAGAAUCUGCCCUCCACUUUGGGAUAACACCGGGAAACCGGUGCUAAUACCGAAUAUUGAAACAUAAGUGGCAUCACUGAGUUUUGAAAGAAUUUCGGUGGAGGAUGACUUCGCGGCCUAUCAGCUAGUUGGUGAGGUAAUGGCUCACCAAGGCAACGACGGUAGCCGGCCUGAGAGGGCGACCGGCCACACUGGGACUGAGACACGGCCCAGACUCCUACGGGAGGCAGCAGUGGGGAAUAUUGCACAAUGGGGGAAACCCUGAUGCAGCGACGCCGCGUGGAGGAAGAAGGUCUUCGGAUUGUAAACUCCUGUUGUUGAGGAAGAUAAUGACGGUACUCAACAAGGAAGUGACGGCUAACUACGUG